CAGCUAUUUAGAAACGCAACUGGCAACGUGGGUCGCAUGAAACGCUGCUGAAAUGUCUGCAAGGUGCGCCUUGCGUGAGGACAUUGUUGUGUGAAUGUUGACAAAAGUGGGACGUGAUAAGUCGUUCUCUUUAGACGAGGUGAUUAAUUCCAGGGUUUUGGUGGGUUGGGAAUGAAGCCUAUUAAGGCUAGCUGGGAUUAGCAUGUGAGCUAGCACACACACACUCUCACACACUUUCCUACUGGCAGACUCGCUCUCACCUCAGACACCUCAUCCUCGUCGCUGCCGGAUCCGGGGCCCGAGGAGAGCACUGCGGCCGCUGUGAGUUUGAAAUCAAGUCUGUCUGUGGUGGGCCCGCCAGCCUCGCCGAACAAGCGGACUUUCUUGCCACCGACGCCGAUCCCGAGGCCCCCGAGUCCGGCUCCUGGUGUAGCUCCAACCCCCAUCCCUAACGCAGGGGAACGCGGAGUCACCGAGUCAAUCUCGUCCUCGAAGCCGUCCGUCAGCAUUGCCGUCCCGGCUACUGCAUCCUGCAUACUUUCUUAAAUAAUACGUCUAUUUGUGAAGGUGUAUCACAUAAUGAGCUGCAAGAUACCUCAGGAUCAGCCCGAAGAUAGAUCAUGGCAUCCAGUUCAAUCUGCGACUCAAACUGAGUGAGAAGCCAUGAAUGCCAGUCUUGGUAAAUGGCCCAUUCGGUCUCAUUCAAAUCUCCGGACUCAAAGAGAUUGGAGGCGAACACGUAUCUGGAGAUUUGCAAAUAUCAAGCUUUUCAGUUAAAUGGCAUUCUUUGGUAGCUGUUUUUCAUGACUCUUUUUAUAUGUACCGGUCACUGUAGACGGAGCGCUCAAAGAACUGGACUGGCUUCUCUGCCUGCUGAAGUUUGGCAGAUGGAGGCUGAAGCUGCGAACGGACUCGACUCAGACAGGCGUAGGUCUGGAAAGUGUAGGACCAGCGACUCGGCUUGUCGUAUAACAUCUGCAGCAGGUUGCCUCCGCUCUUCUGGGAUGUGCUGAGCUCCUAUAUGGUUUAAAGAGGUUUUAUUAUGUUAAAUCAUUGGUAUUAAUAUUUGAGACAGGACUAAGGAGGUGUUUACGCUACAACACCAUUAAAACGGAAAACUCUUUUUCUAUGAUAGAGUUCCUCUAUCUACAUUUUAGCCACUUAAAAUUCUUUUUCUCUUGUUUCUAUGAAAAUUGAACUCUUUUAGAAAUAUUCCCCAAGUGCUGUUGAAUGGGAAGAUUUUUUUAAACACAUUUUUAAACAAUAGUUUUAAUAACUGAUUUGUAAUCACUAAUUUCAUUGGUCUUUGGCAUAGUGGAUAAUAUUUUAUUAGUUCUUUUGCAAGAUGUUGUAUUCAGCUUAAAGUGUUGUUCAAAAGCAUAACUAGGUUAUUAGGGUUAACUACGCAAGUUAGGUAAAGUAGGCAACUUAUUGGACUACAGCGGUUUCUUCUGUAGCCAAAAAACAAUGUCUUACGGGGCUGAUGAUAUUGUUUAUAUUGUUAUUGUUUUUAUAGUCCAACUGUAAGAAUGGGCUAUAUGCACAGACAGACAGACUUUAAAUUUUCAGUGAGGCAGCCCAAGGGCUUCGGGUCAACUGUCUUUCCAUUACAAAAUUGUUACGUUUAAGAUCAGAUUUUUUUUUAAAUCAGCAAUCUUCAUUGCCUGUUAGAAAUGCGAAUUGGACAAGCACAGCCAUGUCUUAAAAACAUGAAUUUAUUUUACCACACUAUUUAUAAUGGAAUUUCUGCGCUAGCCUGUUGCUACUGAUGGCGUCAGUGGUUACAACGAAAUUUAAUCUCGUUUUAUGCUUAAACAAAUAAAUUAAUGCUUAAGUCUAAUUAACUGAAUGUAUUGUACUUGCAUUGCAUCGAUGCUGUAAAAACAGCUUGAAAUUGUCACAUAAAGCUUUCAUUAAAAGUUUAUCAUUGCUUUAAAACUCUAGCUGUGCAUAGAGCCCAUUACGACUUUCUCCAUAAGAAAAACAUAUUAUAGGAAAUACUGUGAAAUGUCUGUUAAACAUCACUUAGGGAAAUCUUUUAAAAAUAAUACAAAUUUCACUGGAGGGGUAAUCAUUUUGCUUUCAACUGUACAUGACUGUGGUGUUUUAGGGAUCUAAAACUGGGUUUUUAAAGUAUUACUUUCUAAAGUUUAUACUAUUAGAAUUUAAAGAAAACAACAGACUAAUUUAUAACUACUAUAUAACAUCUACAUUACUAGAUGCACAGACUAAUGUGCAUUUCUGAUAUACACAUACAAAUUGCAUAAUCAGUCUGUGUAUGCUUCUUUACAAAGUGUCAUUUCCAACUAAUGGCCUGGCAUGAUACAGCGAUUUCAGUCAUGGAUAUUUAAUUUGUAAACAAAAGCUUUCAAAACAACAAAGGAAAACUUGUUAUUUGAACACUUGAAAAAAGUGUUGUUUUAUUUAUUUAAAAUCAAAUCUUAGAUUUACUGUACCUCAUAUUCAUUCUCUGUGGUCUGUACAUUGCACCAUUUCCCUAUGGGCUCUGGUAUGACCUCCCAUUCCUCUGAUGCCCGCUCUAACAAACGUACGAAAGUGGACUUUCCUGCCGCUGUUGAACAGAUAUAAAUGUUUUAAAAUGCAAAACAAAAAAUGUACAACAUGCGGUGCACCUUAUUAUUACAGACUAAAACAAAUCCCCUAGAUAGUUAAAUAUUUCAUGAAUUGGCUGAAACAUCCUUAAAUAAAACUUUGUGUAAGUUUAACAGUUUAAUAAAAUAUCAUGCAGUUGU
ensembl:antisense